rnacentral:piRNA from 1 species
UUCCUGAGUUCUGGUAAGGUGGCCCC